rnacentral:rRNA from 1 species
ACUUUGAUANCUUACAACUUUCUCCGCCAGGGGACUACGAGCGCUAGCUUAAAACCCNAAAGACUUGGCGGUGCCCUACACCCACCUAGAGGAGCCUGUUCUAUAAUCGAUACCCCCCGCUUUACCUCACCAAUUUUUGCCAAAACCGCCUGUAUACCGCCGUCGCCAACUUACCCUUUGAAGGUUAAAAAGUAAGUAUAAUGGUCUUUCACCAAAACGUCAGGUCAAGGUGCAGCGAAUAAAUUGGAUAGAAAUGGGCUACAUUUUCUACCCUAGAAAAUUACGGAAAAUCACUAUGAAACCUGAUUAGAAGGCGGAUUUAGCAGUAAAAAGAAACCAGAACAUUCUUUUUAAUCUGGCCCUAGGGCGCGCACACACCGCCCGUCACCCU